rnacentral:rRNA from 11 species
AGCUUCAGCAUAAUGCCCUGAAGGCAACAGAUCUUGUCUGAUCUUGGAAGCGAAGCAGGUCAGUCCUAAAUAGUCCUUGGAGGAAGAAUCCCCCACAAGAAUCACAGAUCCUGUAGGCU